rnacentral:misc_RNA from 1 species
AACGCACGAGACCUGCGGACCUGCGGAGGGAUCAUUAUUGAAUAAACUUGGUGGGUUGUCGCUGGCUCCUUGGAGCAUGUGCACGCUCAUCAUCUUUAUCCAUCCACCUGUGCACCUUCUGUAGUCUUGAGGAAUGAACACGGUGCAACCUCGGUUGGCUAUUCAGCCGACCGGAUGUGAGGAGUGCAUAGCUCUCCUCAAAAGCCUGUGAUCAGUACUCGGACUAUGUUUUUCAUACAC